GCCGUGAUAGCUCAGUUGGUAGAGCAUGCGACUGAAAAUCGCAGUGUCGCCAGUUCAAUUCUGGCUCUCGGCA
rnacentral:tRNA from 1 species